CGGAAAUCCGGUUACCGCCAUUUUACGGAGUCAUACGCACAGCGUGUUGGCUUAAGUACUUUCUCUGUGUGUUCGCAAGUAUCAUUUUUCAGAGCAAUACAUUGCGGUAGAGUAAUCCAAGAUGAGUUACGGCAGGCCUCCGCCAGACGUUGAGGGCAUGACUUCGUUAAAAGUCGACAAUCUAACGUACCGCACGUCUCCAGAAACGCUAAGGCGAGUUUUCGAAAAGUACGGUAGGGUCGGAGAUAUCUACAUACCGAGAGACCCAUACACGAAAGAGAGCCGUGGCUUCGCCUUCGUGCGUUUCCACGAUAAACGUGACGCAGAAGACGCGAUGGACGCUAUGGACGGUGCACUUUUGGACGGACGCGAACUGCGCGUGCAGAUGGCAAGAUACGGGCGUCCCCCGGAAUCUCACCAAAGCCGCCGCGGUCCCCCGCCGAGGAGAAGUGGAGGGUAUGGUGGUGGUCGGAGAAGCCGCAGCCGUAGUCCUCGGCGCAGGAGGCACAGCAGAUCCAGAAGCAGAAGUCGCUCCAAUUCCCGUAGUAGAUCUCGCUACAGCCGGUCCAGGUCCAAGUCCUACUCCCGGUCCCGUUCUAAAAGCCGCACACCACGCAGGAGCAAGUCCAAAUCACCUUCCAGGUCCCGUUCAAAGUCCAAGUCUAAGUCUAAAUCCAAGUCCAAAUCCAAGUCUAAGUCUCGCUCCAGGAGUCCCACUCCACGAUCAAACAAAGGGUCCAAAUCAAGAUCUAGAUCACCAAGCAGACCCAAGUCUCCAGAGGCUAAUGGAACUACGGCUGAAUCGUGAAAUUUAGCUGCUGAUUCCUGUUUGCAAAAGAGGAGUUUGGUGCAGUUUGAGAGCAGUUAGUGUGUGAUCCGUCCAUUGGCUGCCUGCUGCUGAUUGGCGGUUGCUAUGGAGCAGAUGACGUCACAUUGUAGAACCUUCACGGAUCACGUUGAAUGAUGUCGUCUGUUUGAGGAUUCCCAAAUAAUCCAUAUAUCAAACGAAAGGUUAAUGUGACUUGGUCUACUUUUGUUUUAAUGAAUUUUGCUUUUUGUUUAUGUAUCAUACUUCUGAAUUCCUUGUGAUAUUAAAUGAUCUUUAUGCUUAAAUGGGGCUAUUAGGUGAAAUCACUUCAUGUUUUGGUUUGCAUUUCAUUUCCUUAUGUUAUUGAAACUGCCAGACUACAGUAAGUUCAUUUUAAUCAAAAUGUAUUUGUCCCCUUAAUAAACAUUAAUGGACAACUUGGAAUGUUGUGCAAAUAUUUUCUUUGGGUUUAGAACGGUCGAUACUGGGUAGACUUUGUAAUACUCUUAACAUCUGUUGCUUACUGUGCAGGUAUUUUAUAGUUUAAAUGAACGUUCCACAGCAAAAUGAUUCUGAUAUUCUCCCUUGUGUAUUUUUAUGCACUAGGUGCAGUUGCAUAGCAGUUGAGUUUUGCUGGUUAGCUGUUAAGGUGAUGCGGUGCAGAGUGCUUGGCUGUUUCCAGUAUUCUCCUGUUUGCACCUUGAUUUAAGAUUGGCUACAGCAUUUUUUUUUCAGAAGUAAUCUAUUAUCAAAGCUUAUUGCAGAUUUUCGGAAGUCAUGCAAGAUUUACAUUUGAUUGCAUUUUUCAUUGUUUGAAAUUAGUCAGAAGUUUUGUGAAUGCCAAUAAAGGGUCUUUUUCUCAGAAUAAAACAUUUUAUUGCA